ACAAGAACACCACUGCAGAGAGGUUUGUGCAAUAGUGUUCUAAAGAACAUAUAUGAUUUACAAAUUACAACUAUAAAUACAAAGUUCAAAACGCUAAAGGAGAAAUGCUAUUCAUUCUAUUUUUUUUUUCCAUCUGAUUUUCAUUGAUAACUUGAAAAAGAUACAAAAUUGAGAUACUAAAGCCGGCAGAACACAAAGAAAUCCUCGGAAGCUAAGCCCACAAGAGGAAAACAAGAACCCAAACAUACAUGGGUGACAUACCAACAUCUAGAGAUUAAACGAACCACCUACACUCUUUUUACAAAACACAAACCCAGCUAUCCAUGAUAAAAGAACAGAGCUUUAAUGAACUAAAACUACCCGGAACUCUUAGCAACGAACUGAACAAGAGAGAGCAAGCAACGUAGAGUACUUCUUUAUGGAGAGCAGAACUUCAUUUGAACCACCUGUUCAUAAUGAUAACACCCACACCACUUCAACGAAGUGAAGACAUAAAACCAGGAUGUAACAACACCCGCCAGAGCACCAUACUCAACCGCACCUUAAUCUAGAAACCUCCAUGCCUCAACCUCUUUCUAUUGCUUCAAACGAAGCCACGAGGAAACCAGAGACCAAAGGAAGACUCAGAUAAACACUGAAAAGAAAGGCGGGAGAAGGCCUCCAAUAAACUCUGAAACCACCUACAACUCAAGGACCAAAACCUGCAACUGCUCACCAUACACCCCACGCCACUACUACACUGUUGCUGAAUCAAAGACCAUCAAACACAAGUUCGAGAACCUAAGAGAGCUUAACCACACAUAACCCCUCGGCCAGAGGAAGUCACAAAGGCGGAAGGACGACUGGGACAUAACUGAAGAACUCUCUCUGCUGAGAUACCGAAGCAUGAACAGAGAAGAAAAGCCAACAACCUCACUACCGUAGUGGACUCAUCAUUCCGGCCGGAUCUGAGACAGAGAAGCACAGAUCUGACAACUUGACAAAUCUGUUACAACAAGAAACCCAGAUCUACAAAAGCCUUGAUAACAAAUCUGAAAAUGAAUCACAGAUAUGUCAUCAAAUAACUUUAAUAGUGGUUAACAAAAGCAAUCUAAGCCAUCGAAAGCCAGAGAAAGUAUACAAAAAGAAGUGUAGGUUUGAACAGAAAAGAAAUAGAACAGCUAAACACAAAGACAAGACGUACUGCUCCGACGGCGACGCUGAAGACGCGCCACCGUCGGAACCACCACAAAUCAACCGGAGAAGAAAGCCUAUAGAGAGAAGGGAGGUUGGUCGCUCACACCUAUUCAUUCUACUUACUCUUAUUGUAAAAAAGCAAAUAAAAUUAGAGUUAUCUAUUCUACAUUGUACAUGCUAUUAGAUCAAUGCAUCACUAAAAUCAAAGUUGGAUCGAUGUGCAAGUAGUGACCAACCAUAGAGUAACAAGAUUUUUAAAAAAUUGCUUGAAAUCGUUGAUAAAAAAAAUAAAACAAAAUAUUUUUAAUAUUACUAAUUUAUAAAAAUUGUAUUGGUUUUUAUUAUUUUUUCUUCAUAAAACAGACUUUCUAACGACCCCAAGCACUUGAAACAGAAAAAGAUUAAUGCUUCCAUAGAAAAUCGAGAGGCAAGGAGAACCGUCUCUCUUCUUGAUUCUUGGCAUCGCCGUGUUUUUCUUGCUCCGGCAUCCACGCUUCUAUGGUAAUGCUACUGGUCGCCACCAUGAAGCUGCGCUUGCUGGCUUUUCCUCCUCUGAUAUAUGUUACUAGGUCACCACCGUGACUGCAUAUUC
rnacentral:lncRNA from 1 species